rnacentral:lncRNA from 1 species
AAACUGGAUUCAGCACAGAUGCAGCUGUUAUUUCAUCAGUUCUGAUAAAAAUCAUGGACAAAUGCUUUGGAGGCAUGCAGAGAAAGGGGCGGAGAUCUUGUUGAGAUUUACAACGCCAUAGACCACAACUUCUUGAUGCCAAAGGUUCCGCCUUUGAAUUAUAUUACACCCGCAGUAGGGUUUUGGAUAGGUCUGACAGAUAAGGAAAGAAAUGACACAUUUGUCUGGAUAUCAUCUGGACAGAUUCCUACUUAUACCUUGUGGGAACCUGGCCAGCUAUCCCAUUCGUGGGAAGAGGAUUGUGCGUAUUAUCAUAGGGACAUAUGGAACGAU